rnacentral:RNase_P_RNA from 1 species
UGUAGUUACUGAUGCUAUCGCUUCAUUAUUGAAGAGGAAAGUCCGGACACCAAAGAGUAGUAUAGCGGAUAACAUCCGUCCAGUGUGAACUGAGGACAAGUGCAACAGAAAGAAUGUACAGUUUGGCUGUAGUGAAAUCAUGUAAACUCUAUGCGGUGCAAUGCCAUGUAUACCAGGAUUAAAGGAUUACUCGUCUUUUCUUGGGGGGUAGGCAGCUUGACAUAAAGAGUAAUUUUUAUGCUAGAUAAAUGAUGGCACCUUUUUAGGAACAGAAUCCGGCUUACGUGUAAUUACAAUUU